UACGUAGGGUGCAAGCGUUGUCCGGAAUUAUUGGGCGUAAAGGGCUCGUAGGCGGUCCAUCGCGUCGGGAGUGAAAAGCUGGGGCUUAACCCCAGUCCUGCUUCCGAUACGGGUGGACUAGAGGUAGGUAGGGGAGAACGGAAUUCCUGGUGUAGCGGUGAAAUGCGCAGAUAUCGGGAAGAACACCCGUGGCGAAGGCGGUUCUCUGGGACGGUACUGACGCUGAGACGCGAAAGCGUGGGGAGCGAACAGG
rnacentral:rRNA from 1 species